rnacentral:tRNA from 1 species
AAUGAAGUGCCUGAGCUAAAAGGAUUAUUUUGAUAGAAUAAAUUAUGUAAAUUAUUUACCUUCAUUA